rfam:Eutrema salsugineum unplaced genomic scaffold scaffold_3, whole genome shotgun sequence.
AAGCCGUGGUGUGGGCAUUGGUUAGUGUAGCUUCUAAACCGUUCCCAAGCUUCACUAAAGCUCUCGUUAUUGUGCUGCGUGAAACUUGAGAUCUGAUCCCUGACCUU